UACGUAGGGGGCAAGCGUUGCUCGGAAUUACUGGGCGUAAAGGGAGCGUAGGCGGAUAGUUUAGUCAGAGGUGAAAGCCCAGGGCUCAACCCUGGAAUUGCCUUUGAUACUGGCUAUCUUGAGUGUGGGAGAGGUUAGCGGAACUCCGAGUGUAGAGGUGAAAUUCGUAGAUAUUCGGAAGAACACCAGUGGCGAAGGCGGCUAACUGGCCCAUUACUGACGCUGAGGCUCGAAAGCGUGGGGAGCAAACAGG
rnacentral:rRNA from 1 species